UACGAAGGGGGCUAGCGUUGCUCGGAAUCACUGGGCGUAAAGCGCAUGUAGGCGGAUUGUUAAGUCAGGGGUGAAAUCCUGGAGCUCAACUCCAGAACUGCCUUUGAUACUGGCGAUCUCGAGUCCGGGAGAGGUGAGUGGAACUGCGAGUGUAGAGGUGAAAUUCGUAGAUAUUCGCAAGAACACCAGUGGCGAAGGCGGCUCACUGGCCCGAUACUGACGCUGAGGCACGAAAGCGUGGGGAGCAAACAGG
rnacentral:rRNA from 1 species